AACGAACGCUGGCGGCAUGCCUAACACAUGCAAGUCGAACGAGACCUUCGGGUCUAGUGGCGCACGGGUGCGUAACGCGUGAGAACCUGCCCUUAGGUUCGGAAUAACUCCCCGAAAGGGGUGCUAAUACCGGAUAAUGUCUUCGAACCAAAGAUUUAUCGCCUUUGGAUGGGCCCGCGUUGGAUUAGCUAGUUGGUAGGGUAAAAGCCUACCAAGGCGACGAUCCAUAGCUGGUCUGAGAGGAUGAUCAGCCACACUGGGACUGAGACACGGCCCAGACUCCUACGGGAGGCAGCAGUGGGGAAUAUUGGACAAUGGGCGAAAGCCUGAUCCAGCAAUGCCGCGUGAGUGAUGAAGGCCUUAGGGUUGUAAAGCUCUUUUACCCGGGAUGAUAAUGACAGUACCGGGAGAAUAAGCUCCGGCUAACUCCGUG
rnacentral:rRNA from 1 species